UGGGUUUACUUUGUGAAAAAGUCUUUGUACUAUAAAAUGAUGUUGUAGAAUACAUUUCAUUUUAAAUGUAUUACUUAAAAUAUGAACACUAAAUACAUUUUUUAGACAUUAAGAACACAUUUUGCAUAGCAUGUCCAUUAGGAGAAUCCAGGUCUGUAGAGAGGAUGCAUUAUCUUUUGGGCUUAUUCAUAGUUAACUAUUAAAGUAAGGGUUAUUAAAAUAAAAUUAAAAACUAAAGUUAAAAUUAAAAAUAAUUAAACAGGAGUUCCCUUUGUGGCACAGCAGAAAUGAAUCAAACUGGUAUCCAGGAGGAUGCAGGUUCAAUCCCUGGCCUCAUUCAGUGGGUUAAAGGAUCCAGCAUUGCCUUGAGUUGUGGUGUAGGCUGCAGAUAAAGCUCGGAUCCCAUGUUGCUGUUGCUGUGGCUCCGACCCCUAGCCUGGGAACUUCCAUAUGUCACAGGUGUGGCCCUAAAAAAAAAUAAAUAAAUAGAAUAUUAAAACUGUAUGCAUAUAAUGGAAAUGGAAAUGCAUGAGAAAACCUUAAAAUAUACCCCACAUCUAUCACUGUUCACAAUCAGUGCAUUGAUCUCAAUAGCUGGCUUAAAUAUUCUUACGAAUUUUUUUCUUAAUGAGAAAAUAUGUCACUUUUUGUUCCCUUAUUUGCACCAUUGCAUUUGCUGUUUCUUCUUCUCAGAAUGCUUUCACCCACAUUUUUAAUCUUGAUAAAUUCCUUCCUUAGAGACUAAGUUGGGAUGGUUUCACAGAUGGUAUAUACAUAUGUCCAAACUCAUCAAAUUGUAUACAUUAAACAUACACUGAUUUCUGUUUAUCAAUUAUACCUCAGUAAACUGUUUAUAAAAGACUAAGUUGGACUGCUACCCUCUCUGGGAAGCCUUAUCUUUUGCCUAUGACCAGAGUUAGCUGUCAUCCUAGUGCCUCUUCUCAGACAUAUGAGAUCACUGGAGCAUUUAUACACUCAGGUUUAGGAGAGAGAGCUUGGGUUCUAACAUCUACCCCCGUACUUCUCAACUUUGUGAUAUUGAUGAUUCAUGUAACCUCUCCAUGCUUUAGUUUUCUUGUCAGUAAAGUGGGAAUAAAACAUAACCUCCCUCUUAAGAUGGUUUUAAUUAUUAAAUAAAUUAAAGCACAAAUUCAUAGGACAUAUCUGGCACAUUCUAGAUGUAUGAUAAGUCUUAAACAUUAUUACUUAUUUAUUUAUCUAUUUAUUUAAAUUACUCAAAUGAAUUUAUCACAUCUGUAGUUGCAUAAUUGUUAAACAUUAUUUUUGAAUCAAGCUUUUUGUGUUCUACAAUUUGGCCACUGCUAAGUUUCCUAAGGUUCCUGAUUAUGCCUUUACCAUAUCCUCUUGGUCUUGCACUAUGUAAGAGCAUCUGCCAUAUAUGUGGUAUUCAAUAAAUAAUUGUUUCAAUAUUUGUAUUGAAUCUCUAUUAGCCAAUUGUUAAACAGAGUUAUACUAAUGAUUAUGAGGUUGCUUAAAUAUUAACAACUGUUUAUGUUCAACAUAAUUUUCAUUAUAUCUGUAUUGAUAUUUCUAAGUUCUCUGAAUAUUAUAUCAAAUGGAUAAGUACUCAUUUCCCCAGAGUUCCACUAUCUGUCUGUGGGCUUACUUGAAUAUUUGUCUCAAAGAAUGGACUCUCUUUUCACAAAGAAAGGCCGAAGGAAAGAAUGGCCAAAGAACCAUCCAAACAUCACACAAAGAAGAGUUCUAAAUGAGCUGUCACCAGUUUGAGUGAAUCAGACUCUGUCCUCAGUUUGUACCUUCAAGUUUCACUCAUUUUGAUUUUCUCCCUCCUUGGCUAUGGCCAUGAGCUUUCCACACACAAUGUGACAAUGUCUAUACAAUGUCACAAAGUCUUAUAAAAGUUCAAACUUAUUCAAACUCAUGAAAGAGAACCACAUUUGAGCUCCCUGUAACAAACUGUUAUAGGUUUCAGGGGUUGAUUUUAGAAUACAACAAAAAUUAGAUAAUAUUUUUUUUUAAAAAAGGGAGAUACUAUCAGGCCUGGGGAAAGAAUUAGAAUAAUAUGUUUUAUAGAAAAGAAUAAUCCUCUUCCCUCUAUGACUUUUGCCUUCUUGUGAUUCUUGGCUUCAUUCUUCCCUGUGUGUGCCAACUUUAUUUUGGUUCACAUGGUAAAAAGUGAUCAUUCAUAGUUUUACUUACAACUCCAUUCGCUACAGAGUUGGGGUUUCUUAAUUCAAUUUUAAAUUCCUAAUUUUGAAUUUAAGAGGGAUGUUUAUUGGCAGAGAUCGGUUAGGUUCUCAAAAUAAGCCAGUCAAUUAUGAUCAAGGAGGCCAAGUUAUACUAAAAUAGCAUGGCUAAAUACACACACACACACACACACACACACACACACAAUAUGUACCUGAUUUUGAUGAUAAUAACAAUAAUAAAAGGAAUUUUAUGUAUAGUGGAUUUUAUAAUGUCACCCUCAAAAUCUAUAUCUACUGGAAACCUCAGAAAGUUGACUUUAUUUGGAAAUAUGUUCUUUGUAAAUGUAAGUAUAGUAAGGAAUUAGAUAAAUUAUACUAAAGGCCAAAGAUAGUGUCCUUCUUUAUAAGAGACAAAAGGGCACGGAGAAGAAAGCAAUAUGAAGAUGGAGGCAGAGAUUAAGGAUGUGUCUAGAAGCCAAAGAACAUUAAGGAUAUUGUUCAACCCCCAUAUGCCAGGAAAGGGGCAUGGGGAAGUUCCCCCUCAGAGACAGGAGGACAAAGAGGAUGGAAUGGCAAAAUUGGAACAUUUCAACAACAAAAAUGUGACAAAGGGAACAGCCCUGUUGACUCUGAUAUCAUACUUCUGGCUUCAUGAACUGUGAGAGAGUAAUUUCUGUUGUCUUGUACAAAGUUGAUAGUAAUUUAUUAUUGUAGCCCUAGGAAACUAAGAGGCCAAGCAAAGAGAAAAGACUAAAGGAGAGCAAUUAAGAAGCUCUUUUUCCACCAACAGAUGCUGCUUCCUUCUCUGUAAAAUAAUGCAUUCUGUAUUUUACUUUAACCAGGUAAGUUGUUUGCUUCCAAUGUCCAACUUAUAUUAAUUUAUGACUAUAAAAGGAUCCCAAGCAACUUAACCUAGAACAAUGUAAUAAUAGUUUAUUAUUGCUCACAAAUG
rnacentral:lncRNA from 1 species